GGAAUCUCUUGUAUUCAUCUUCAAGCGGUCCGAGUUUUAGGUAAGGGGGGUUUGUGGGGAUUUGAGUGAAAUGGUUGGUAAAGAAAACUUGAGGACUGAAGACUUGAACUUGUGCUUUGAGAAACUAAUGAUGCUGGUUGGUGGCGGUGAUGGAAUGGAUGUUGGCGCUAAAGGAGUUAAAAUGGAUGGUGGAGUGAUAGCAGGAUGGAAGGACAUUCCUAUGGAGCUUCUCUUGCAAAUUGUUUCACUUGUUGAUGAUCGAACUGUUAUUGUAGCCUCAGGCGUGUGUCGUGGAUGGAGAGAUGCUAUUUGUUUUGGCCUCAUCCAUCUUUCCCUCUCAUGGUGCAAAAAGAACAUGAACAAUUUGGUCCUAUCCCUUGCUCCUAAAUUUGCAAGACUGCAAACUCUAAUCUUGCGCCAGGAUAAACCCCAGCUUGCAGACGAUGCUGUUGAGACAAUUUCUAGUAACUGUCAUGAUCUGCAGGUCCUGGACUUGAGCAAAAGUUUUAAGCUGAGUGAUCUUUCCCUAUAUGCCCUGGCUCAUGGUUGCCGCGACCUUAAAAAACUUAAUAUUAGUGGUUGUACUGCAUUCAGCGACACGGCACUGGCUUAUCUCGCCAGGUAUUGUGGAAAGCUAAAAGUUCUUAAUCUUUGUGGAUGUGUCAAGGCUGCAUCUGACACUGCAUUGCAGGCUAUCGGACAAUACUGUAAUCAUUUGCAGUCUGUAAAUCUUGGAUGGUGUGAAAAUGUGAGUGAUGUGGGUGUGAUGAGUUUGGCGUAUGGAUGUCCCGAUCUUCGAACACUAGACUUGUGUGGCUGUGUCCUAAUUACAGAUGAUAGUGUGAUUGCUUUGGCAAAUAUGUGCCCUCAUCUGAGGUCCCUUGGCCUCUACUAUUGUCAAAACAUAACGGACAGAGCAAUGUAUUCUUUGGCACAUAGCUGUAUAAAGAACAAACCUACAAAAUGGGGAACAGGGAAGGGCAAGAAUGAUGAUGAUGGACUUCGAACUCUUAACAUAAGCCAAUGCACAGCUCUUACUCCCCCGGCGGUUCAGGCAGUUUGCGAUUCAUUUCCUGCUCUCCACACCUGCUCGGGUCGCCAUUCUCUCAUCAUGAGUGGCUGUCUAAAUUUGAUGUCUGUGCAUUGUGCUUGUGCAGUCCAAGCUCACCGUACUCCAACUGUUUUUCCUCAUUCAGCUCAUUGAAAUGAGAGUGAGUUUAGAUUAUUGUUAUUCUCGAACACCAUCCUUCUCCGG
rnacentral:misc_RNA from 1 species